CGUAGAGGAGAGAAAUGUCGAGAGGGUGGACCGAUCAGCCGCCGUCGCAGACGCAGCGGCAGAUCAUGCGGACUCAGAUGAUUCGAUAGUGAGGUGGUGCCCUCGUCUAUUGUAGAGAUUACUCCCAUUCUCCGUGUUGCCAAUGAAGUUGAAAAAGCCAACCCUAGGGUCUCUUAUCUCUGACUGGAGCUGAAGGAAGCAUGAAAAAAUGGCUGGAAGUUCUGAAUAUUUGCAUUAAACCAGAUCAGCCAAGUAUGUAAUGAUUAAGUUGGAUAUAAGUGCCUAGAGUGAAGCAGCUUUCUGAUUGCCACUGAUGCAUGUUGAUCUUCAGUAAGUGCUACUUUAACCUUAUUGCGUAUGUCCUAGGAAAAAUAUGCGUAAAUAUAUGGUUCAAAUUUGCAAAGUUUCAAAAAGAAUAAAAUUUUGGAGAUGUGAGAUGGAGGGUGAAAGUUGCUGUCAAAACAUUUUCCUGCUGGAAUUGGCAAUUUUCUAGCAGCCAAAAUUCAGGGGUAAUAUGGUGGCAUUACACGCUUUGGAAAAUCCUGAAAAAUAGUUUGUACUCCCAAAAUACUUUCACAUAUUCAAGACAUAGUUCAUACUCCCAAUUUUUCGAGCGGAGCCAAGGCUACAAGUUUAAACAAUUUUGGGCAUAGCAAGGGCUGACCACUUGACUUCUGAGUGAAUUGCUAAAGUUCAAUGCCAUGUGAAAUAAUUUAUUUGUUAAAAAAGAAAUUGAUUUUUUUUUUGUAGUAGGAUAAUCACAUCAAUAAUGGGCAGCGGGCGAUUAAGCAUGCUUAGCAUUUGAGGCCAUAAAAUAUACCUUCUUGAGGGAUGUCUUUUAGUUAGUAUAUAUUUAUAUGGCACUUAUUUAUUCAUUGCCCAGAAACCUUUCUUUUCAAAGUAAUGCUCUUAAGUUUUAGGCUUUUGUCCGCGAAAACUAUGGAGGAACCUUGCUUAUCACAGAUAGGAAGGACUAGUGUUUCUAAUCUUAUGAAUCGAUUGCUUCGGUAAGCUCAUUUAACUUUUCAAGAGGCCUGAUUUAUUUGUAACUGCGUUAUUGUUUUGUUGCUACAUCUGAUUGAAUUGAUGAUAACUUGAUGUUUUUAGCAUUGUCGUUGACAUUUUCUACACGUGGACUCAUGCUUAUUAUCCUGUGCAGUGUAUGCUCUGAGAACAAGUUUCUUCACCCAGUAAUGCUUUGUGAUAAUUUGGAUUGGAAUUGUAUUCUGGUCACCAGUUUGGCUUGAGGGAUUGGGUAUUUGAUCAUCAAUCCAAGGGCAUUACUUUUCUUGUUUCCCAAGAAAGGAGGGGUGUUCGUUUUUGUUCUAAUUUGCCCUUAGCACGUAAGCUGAACAUCAUUGGUGAGAAUUGUGCUUUUAAUUGUGUUUUCAUCAUAGUUGUUCCAUAUGUUUAGCUUGCUAGUUUGGUUGUAGCUUGUGGGGAAAUUAGGCCCUCUGCGAAAGAUAUCUGCCUGAAAUAUAUUUCUUCUAUCGAUUUUGUUGUUUUUGGGUUUGGGAAGGAACUACUUUGCUUUAUGCCUAUAAUACAAACAGGACAUGCAAUUUGAUUUCUUCCCUCUUUUUGUCCUCCAUCUGAAAGUAGUGGGUCCCACAUUUUCAAUAACACAAUCACCAGGAUUAAUCCCACUAGGCGGGUCAAUUACAUGAAUUUUUGAUCUUCAACCAUCUUUAUACAAUGGCCUUUCUCUCUCUAAGGCUAUUAUAUCUUAUGUCAUGUCGAAAGGUUUCACACCAACUUUACCUUUGUUUUCUUCCACUACUUUUCCUACAAAUUAUUCCAUUCUUCCACUCCUCGUACUUGUGCUUGAUCGAUCUACGUCUCACAUGUCCAAACUAUAUUAAUCCCAACUAAUGAUUGUUAUCAAUAGUAAGUGCUAUUUUAACGUUAUUGUGUA